rnacentral:misc_RNA from 1 species
UCAUAGAAGGUCAAAAGAAAUAUCAGAAACCAUAUAUUCACCUGAAAAGCCCAAAUACUUGGUCUUGUACCGCUGAAUCCUUUGCUGCACAGUGUAUUUUCUACGUCAAAAGACUCUGAUGGGACAUGAAAAGACAUGCAUCCUCUUGGAAUCUUAGCCCCAGCAUCUUGAAGCUUCUGAAGUGCUCCUCUAAAUACUUUGUCGGGGCAUAUGUCAAAUACUAAAGUUGAUUUUGGCCAGUUGAGCCUGUAAGGUCGCGUAUCCAGUCCAUCUGUUAACAAAACAACCUGUUUCAGUCCAUCAGUAGACUGCAUUGUUUCAAGCAACUUGUCAUCAAUAAACUUAGUUGCAAGACAGUAUGGGUGCAGCUGUUGAUCCAUGUCUUCG